AUGAAGAUAAUCCAUGAAGCUAUUGACAUGAUACGAGAGUUGCUGAAGUUUAUUGACUCUUCUCCUUCAAGACUUCAAGAUUUCAAUACAAUUGCAAGUGGGAUGGGUCUACCUUCAAAGAAAGGUAUCUCUGUUGAUACACCAACCAGAUGGAACUCAACAUGGAAAAUGCUUGUAGAAGCAUUGAUAUACAAAUUUGUCCUCACUAGUUAUGCCACUCGAAAGAUGAUAGAAUCUCCAAGUGAGCAAGAAUGGGAAAGGGCAGCAACUAUUUGUGAGUUUCUAAAAGCUUUUGAAGAGCUUACCUUAAUUGUUUCAGCUCAUAGGAAGCCAACUUCACAUAAGUUUCUGCCGGUUGUGCUUUGUAUUUGCCAUGCAUUAAAAGAUCCAGGUUGGCAAACCUCUGAUGUGUUGAAGGAAUUGGCGGCAGCGAUGCAAACAAAGCUCGAUAAAUAUUGGGAUCCCGAGGAGAAGGAGAAUGCAGAUCCUAACCGUCGUAGAAAAAGCAAGGGCAUUGAGUUUAACCACUCACUUGUCAUUGCUACAUUCCUAGAUCCAAGGAGGAAAGAAGAUUAUUUGGAUUUCUUCUAUUGCAAGUUGUCUACCAACGAGGAGCAGGUUUCAAAACAAGUGGAGAUUGCUUUAGAAUGGGUGAGAAAGUAUGUCAAGGAAUAUGAGCUACUUGCAGUGACAAGCACUGCACACUCGACACCUUGUAGUCAAGGCAAUAGCACUAUUGGAUCACCUAUUGCAGGGAAAAGAAAGCUGGAAGAAGAGUUUGCCCAACACAAGUCUCGUCAGAGGUCACGUGUACACAAAUCAGAACUUGACACAUACUUGGAAGAAGCAAGGGAGCAGGAUUGUGCUGACUUUGAUGUCUUGGGUUGGUGGAAGAGGCAUGCUGAAAAGUUUCCUAUAUUGGCAUCAAUGGCUCGUGACUUUCUUGCAAUUCCUUUGAGCACAGUGGCAUCCGAAUCAGCCUUCAAUUGUGGUAAGAGGAUACUUGGCGACAUGAGAAGUUCUUUGACCCCUGAUAUGCUAGAAGCGCUUGUUUGUGCUAAAGAUUGGUUGUUCAAACCAAAGGAGGGAGAUGGACAGUAA
rnacentral:rRNA from 1 species